AUCAGAUACAUGCUGGCCGAAUCCGUGUUCAUUUGGAGAAACCUGUAUCAUCACGAACAAAGACCUUCCAGUGUGUGUUAAACUAGAGAGAUCAGAUUAUCUAGGUUGUUACAAGGAUGAUGCUAGCAGGCACUUGAAACACAACUUAACAUACAGCGACAACAUGUCUCUUGCAUUCUGUAAGCAACAUUGCAGUGGAUACCGAUUUUGUGGCAUGCAAGUAGGUUCCUAUUGUAUGUGCGGAAAUGUCCUGAUUGAAAGUAAAUAUCCAAAAAUUGUAGAAGCAGAAUGCGACUACGAUUGUAAAGGAGAACCAGGACGAAAAUGUGGUGCAGCUUGGAAAAAUUCAAUUUAUUUAGUUUGAAGAGCCCUAAUCAAGACCACCGUUAUGAAUUGAACGACACAAAUGCCUAUCAAAAGUAUUAGUGAACCAUAUGGUUGAACAUUAUCAAAUCUGGAAAUUGAAUACAU